rnacentral:rRNA from 1 species
UACGUAGGUGGCAAGCGUUGUCCGGAUUUACUGGGCGUAAAGAGCGCGCAGGCGGUCGACCAAGUCGCGUGUGAAAGCCCCCGGCUCAACUGGGGAGGGUCACGCGAUACUGAUCGACUCGAAGGCAGGAGAGGGUAGUGGAAUUCCCGGUGUAGUGGUGAAAUGCGUAGAUAUCGGGAGGAACACCAGUGGCGAAGGCGACUACCUGGCCUGUUUCUUGACGCUGAGGCGCGAAAGCUAGGGGAGCAAACGGG